rnacentral:rRNA from 1 species
UACAGAGGAUGCAAGCGUUAUCCGGAAUGAUUGGGCGUAAAGCGUCUGUAGGUGGCUUUUUAAGUCCGCCGUCAAAUCCCAGGGCUCAACUCUGGACAGGCGGUGGAAACUACCAAGCUGGAGUACGGUAGGGGCAGAGGGAAUUUCCGGUGGAGCGGUGAAAUGCGUAGAGAUGUGGAGGAACACCGAUGGCGAAGGCAGCCCCCUGGGCUGAGAUUGACGCUCAGGCACGAAAGCGUGGGGAGCAAACAGG